rnacentral:rRNA from 1 species
GAUGAACGCUGACAGAAUGCUUAACACAUGCAAGUCAACUUGAAUUUGGGUUUUUAACUUAGGUUUGGGUGGCGGACGGGUGAGUAACGCGUAAAGAACUUGCCUCACAGUUAGGGACAACAUUUGGAAACGAAUGCUAAUACCUAAUAUUAUGAUAAUAGGGCAUCCUAUAAUUAUGAAAGCUAUAAGCGCUGUGAGAGAGCUUUGCGUCCCAUUAGCUAGUUGGAGAGGUAACGGCUCACCAAGGCGAUGAUGGGUAGCCGGCCUGAGAGGGUGAUCGGCCACAAGGGGACUGAGACACGGCCCUUACUCCUACGGGAGGCAGCAGUGGGGAAUAUUGGACAAUGGACCAAGAGUCUGAUCCAGCAAUUCUGUGUGCACGAUGAAGUUUUUCGGAAUGUAAAGUGCUUUCAGUUGGGAAGAAAGAAAUGACGGUACCAACAGAAGAAGUGACGGCUAAAUACGUGCCAGCAGCCGCGGUAAUACGUAUGUCACGAGCGUUAUCCGGAUUUAUUGGGCGUAAAGCGCGUCUAGGUGGUUAUGUAAGUCUGAUGUGAAAAUGCAGGGCUCAACUCUGUAUUGCGUUGGAAACUGUAUAACUAGAGUACUGGAGAGGUAAGCGGAACUACAAGUGUAGAGGUGAAAUUCGUAGAUAUUUGUAGGAAUGCCGAUGGGGGAGCCAGCUUACUGGACAGAUACUGACGCUGAAGCGCGAAAGCGUGGGUAGCAAACAGG